CAGGAAUCACCUGGGUGUUUGCAGGGUCGCCUCCCUGCCCAGCCUGCCUCCAGCCCUCCCUCCUUCGCUCUGCCUGCUGCUGCCUUGACGAUAGUUUUUCUGCUGAGGACGUUGUCGUUACUCCCAAACCUGCAGGCUGUCCCCGCCGAUCUCCAGAUGGUCUUAUUUCAUCCAACUCAUUGCAACCGAGCAGUUCCUCCAACAGAGACUUAGCGAACAGAGGCUACCAGCCGACCUUUGUGUCAGGUAGUCGGGCGACCACAGCGGUGAACAGGCAUGCAGGGGAAUCCCACAUCGAGACACAACAGGACAGAUGCACAUGUGAACUCACAGAGACCGCGACAGCACACACAAGACCUGCACAGGUUCAAACAAGACAAAAUCCCAGAGCUGGGAAGCAGAAGUGGACACAAAGCCCCACCUCUAACCAAGAAGCUAUGUGUGAUUUAUACCUGCUGGAAGGAAGAACAGUUUUCUCAAAGGAAGCAUCACUGGGUAGCUGAACCACACUCCAGGGCUCGGGGAUCAUCCCAGAAGAGAGAAGCAGAAGAUUAUAAGAACUAUAGGGGUAGAUGGACGACCACAGGCAAACCAUGUGUCCCAGCACUGAAGGGCAGCUGCACACAUGGACUGACAGCUGUCAUGACAGCAUGCACAAGACCUGUAGAGAACCAACACGGAGGAGGGGAGGUGGUCAUGGAGUCCCAACCCUACCUGAGGAGCUAUUGGCAAAUGGUGACUGCUGGACGGGAAGAGCUUCCAGUACACACAAACAUCCUCUGGAGACCUUAUUGACUGCUCGACUGCACGUCCAUCACUUGGAGACUCAGAGGAGAAAAUGGACAAACACUUGAAAACCAAGCAGAUUGUUGAGUUCACACGUCCUCCAAGGUACAGUGGACAUAAGCUGGUAGUUAAUCUAAGGCAUUUGGUUGAGGACUCACAGGAGCCACACUUGAAUAUAAAAGCUCAAAUAUUGCCAGAGUGAAAAAUUUAUCUGUCCACUCUCGUGGUUUUUAAAAAGCCUUGAGAAGAGCAAAUUGAUCUGGAAAGACCUCAACAGCCUACUAGAAUGAAGAACAAUACUGAAUAAAAUCCAGGAUCCAAUAAAGCAAUGACUACAGUACUCAGUAUCUGGUAAAAAUGGCUGAAGAUGCCAAGGAGAAUGUACUUCGAAGUCCAAAGACAAGUCAGUUGUUAACACAGAUUCAGAAUGACAGACAGACAGACAGACAGACAGACAGACUGUAACUAUAGAUAACAGAGAUAAUGUGAGCCAACUAUGUUUCCAUAUUAAAAAAGCAAGUAUAUAAUGGGAAAAGUGCUUUGGCUCUCUCUACAUUUAUAUACAUUUAUAUUACAUUAUAUUAUAUUAUAUUAUAUUAUAUUAUAUUAUAUUAUAUUAUAUUA